GAUGAACGCUGGCGGCGUGCCUAAUACAUGCAAGUCGAGCGAACGGACGAGAAGCUUGCUUCUCUGAUGUUAGCGGCGGACGGGUGAGUAACACGUGGAUAACCUACCUAUAAGACUGGGAUAACUUCGGGAAACCGGAGCUAAUACCGGAUGAUAUUUUGAACCGCAUGGUUCAAAAGUGAAAGACGGUCUUGCUGUCACUUAUAGAUGGAUCCGCGCUGCAUUAGCUAGUUGAUAAGGUAACGGCUUACCAAGGCAACGAUGCAUAGCCGACCUGAGAGGGUGAUCGGCCACACUGGAACUGAGACACGGUCCAGACUCCUACGGGAGGCAGCAGUAGGGAAUCUUCCGCAAUGGGCGAAAGCCUGACGGAGCAACGCCGCGUGAGUGAUGAAGGUCUUCGGAUCGUAAAACUCUGUUAUUAGGGAAGAACAUAUGUGUAAGUAACUGUGCACAUCUUGACGGUACCUAAUCAGAAAGCCACGGCUAACUACGUG
rnacentral:rRNA from 1 species